UAAUCCUCUAAUUGCCACCUGGCAUUUGCUUAAACCAUUACUCUUCUUUUUGAGCGGCAAUUUGUUUACAAGAGGCUUCUCAAACACGCAUUAUUCAAAAACCCUAAUUAUCAUCUUCUUCAAUUCUCUGGCGAUUUCAUACUUCUUCAGUUGUCUCAAACACAAAAACUCUAAUCAAGGUAUCUUUAUCAUCUUCAACUUGCUUUCAGAUCUUGAAGUUUUAUUCACGAUUAAUUUCCUUUUCAUUUUUCAAGUUUUCAUCUUCUUUCCUAUUUGAAGUUUUCCUUUUCCCUUUCCAAAACCCUAAGUUCAACCAUGGCCGCACACCUCUUUCAGUUUUAAAUAUCCUCAAAGUUCAUCGCUAUCGAUCUCCUUCUUCAGUUUUAUCAUCAAUCAAAGUUCAUCGCUGUUGAUCUCCUUCUUCACAUGAAUCUUCAGUUUUAUCAUCAAUUUCUGUAAAUGAUUUUCGAACGAAUAGGAUUAUAAAACGUGGUUAUUAUCAUCAUCAUCAUCCUUUGAUUUUGUAAGAUUUGUAUUCAACCUUCCUUUGUUUAAAAUGCCGAUCGAAGAAUAAGGAUUGGAAAAGCAUAGACGUCUUCCAUCCCAAACCAACCAUAUCAAAAAUCGCCCAGUUACGGAGAAGGUAGUAGUGGUCGGAAAGUACUUGAUAUUGAUCUGAAUGAGGUUCGGGUCGGUACGAUGGAAGAAGAUGAAGGUGGGAAUGGGAAUGGGUAUGCUUCUUCAUCAUAUAACUCAAAUAUAGGCGAGGUUAAAGGUACCCAAUAUGUUUAUGUUUAUGUUUAACGCAUUUGUGAAAAAAAGUAGAUUGAUAUGCAUAUGUACUAGGAAUAUACUGGAGUUCAAACUGGGAAUUUGUCAAGUCUAAUAAAAGAUAAAUCAAUCACCAGCUGAGUUUUUUGUACCUUUGAUUGCAAUUUUGUGACAGGUUGGUGACCAAGAUGAAAAGCUGGCAGAAGGUAUCAAGCUUUAUGCUAUACCAACCACUUCAACUAGAAAGCGUGAGAUAUAAAGAGUUGCGAGGACUGGACAAUUCGGUUUUCCACGUAUCGAUUUUACCAUUCGGUUUUCCAGUCCCAUGACUGAAGACUCAACCAUAAACAUGUUGUUACUACAUACAUGCUCAUGGUCCAGUCUUGGGUUGGUGAAGUUCUAGCUUAUCGCCAUACCAUAAGCAUGAUGAAUCAAUGUUAGAUGCUCUUGGAAUCCUUCCACGACGUAAACAACAUAAGAAACUCUUGCUGAAACGGCAUUAUAGAUAAGAAUGCAAAGAUUGGAAAUGAUGUGGUGAUAAUGAAUAAAGAUGUGGAAAGUGGUCAUGUAGCAGCACGUUAUAAUCAUCGUUUUCAUCCGUGUGAAGAAAAUUCAUAGUUGAGGAGGUAAAAUUAGGGGUGUUCAACUGGUCGUGUUCCAGGUUGGUGGGUUCAACCUGUCCCAAACCCGAUAAUUUUAGACGAUCCCAAACACGACCUAACCCGAAAAUCGGGUCUUACAUAUGAACCCGAACACGACCCGAAUAUACACGAGUUGCUGACCCGUUGAACUCGAAUUUUGUUUAUAAAUUAGUUUUUUUUUUUGCAAAUUAUUAUACUAAAAUUAAAAUUUACUUAUAAAAACAUGAAUUUAAACUAUAAAAUAUUACGCCAAUUUCUCUUUUUAAGUUAUAAUUAUGUCAUAAAAUACACACCCAAUUUAGUUUAUGAUGUAAAACAUAUAGUAAAAAAUAUAAUAUGUUAUAAAUGGGUUAAACGAGUCAACCCACCAACCCGAGCAAUUUGACCCGUACCGUUUAGCUAAACGGGUUUGUGGGUUCCGAUCAAAGAUAACGAAACAUACCCUUUUUUCAUUUUCGGUUCACAAAAGAGCAUCGCUUAUAUAUUUAAUCAAAACCGAAAGGUGAAUUACCAAAUGUGAAGUUCCCCAUGAUUUAAAACUUCAGUUUGAUAUAUUUGUAUUGAUAUAUGCUAGAAGUGGCAUACGCCAUUAAAUCACGUACAUGGAGCAAAGGCUUGGUUUUCAGUUUCUGAUUGGUCAAGACCCCAUUUAGCUCUGUAUUGAACCUGUAGAUUCGACUCAGGAAUGGAGGCAGUGGGAGUUGUAACAGUUGUCAGCCGGGGAGUAACCACAAAGCGAGUUUAAGUUAUUGAUUGUUUCUCGAAGCGGGUCAACUGAUGCAAAAUGGUGUUUUGUUUACUAUAGGUGAUGGGUUGAGGCCCGAAUUAAUUAAUGAUGCGGGUCAACUGGUGCAGAGUUAUUGACUGAAGGUGUAUUAAACUGUAGACCUGAGAGAAAGAUGUACAAGUAUGCUUCUAUUAUUUGUUUUUAUUUCUAUUUUUUAAUUUGUUAACUAUUGGGCAAGCAAUGUGUCAAAUAUGGUUAGUUUAUUGUGUCAA